UCUGCUAGCCCCAACUAUACCUCUUCCUUCUGCCUACCCUGGAAUACAACAAGCUGUCAGUAAAGCACAUACACAUGAAGAAGAAGUUUUGCAACCCAGGAAUAUCCUUCUCAAGGACUUAAGAACAAUACCUCUGAAAUGGAAUCAUCAAGGAAGAUAGCACCUCUGUCUCCUAGUUUCUGGGGAAGGGUAAUGGUCUAACUUUGGCAGUUACCUUGCUGCAAAUGUUAAAACUAUCUCCUGGCAUGAAGAUAAGAGAAAUUGGAUUUUUCCGGUGGAUAAAAUCACUCAGCAAACACAGAUGGCCUAAGAUCCCUGACUCCAGGCCUUAAAAAUUCUCAAGUUCUUUCUUUCAGUAGAGUUGAGAACAGAGUGAGCUCUGGCCCUUCUACCCUAUUAUAACAGCCUCACGUAAAAUCCCCUGGCCUAUUUAACUUGUUCGGUGCAGAUUUUUCUUUAACAAACUCCUUUAGUUUAGUGGGGCCAUGUGACUUGUUUUGGCCAACACAAUAAAACAGAAUCAAUGUGUGC